UCCCUGAAAGAUGAUCAGGUUGAUAGGUCUGAGGUGGAAGUGUGGCGACACAUGGAGCUGACAGAUACUAAUCGAUCGAGGACUUAACCUAA
rnacentral:rRNA from 1 species